rnacentral:lncRNA from 1 species
GACAUUGAUAAACGAAAUUAGAAAAUCGAUUGUCCAUGGUUUUAAUGGCGAACGACUUGUUAGUGGAUAUCUAAAAUUUCAAGUUAGAAAUUUUAAAUACUUUAUAUUUUUUACUAAAUUUAUCUUCUUAAAAAAUAAAGAGACUCAAAAAUUCAAUUGAGAUGAGAAAGCGAACACUAUUAAUAUCUAUAAUAAUAAUACUCCCUAAUAAAUAUGUCAAUCUGUUAUAGAGUCCGUUUGGCUCGGGUAUAAAAGGGGGAUAACCGACCGUCCCUAGAGCAAGUGGCGAAGGGCUUGGUGGUUGGUACCAGAGGUCCCAAGUUCGAAUCCUAAUUGAUUCACAUUUCCAGCUAAGUUUAUUUCUUAAUGAAAUAAACGAAGCGGAUAGCGUUCUACCUAUCUCUCUCAAAAAAAAAAAAAAAAAAAAAAAAAGAAAAAAAAAGAGGGAUAAGAAGGUUAUCCCUCUUUUAUACCCAAACAUGUUUUUGGGGGGUAGGAACUAGUUGUUCCCACCCACCCGGUACAAGGGGGUCUUGUACUCGGUUGGGUAGGAACAACUUGUCCUCACCUAGGGGUGAAACAAGUUGUUCCACCCCACCCAAAGAUUUAUUUUAAAUUUAAAUAUUUAAAAUUUAUAAUUUUAAAAUAUAAGUUUUUAAGUUUAAAUUUUAAAUUUGAUAUUUUAAAUUUUUAAAUUUUAAAUUUGAUCAUUUUAGUUUUUUAAUUUUAAAUUUGAUAUUUUAUAUCUUUCAAAUUUAAAUUUGGUCUUAAAUUUAAAAUUUUAAAAAUUAAAAUUUAAUUUCAAAAUAUAAAAUUUAAAAGUUAAAAUUUUCAAUUUAAAAUCCUAAGUUUAUAAUUUAAAUGCAAUUAUAGAGGUAAUAUUAUUAUUUUAUAUUUAUAACUACCAACUAUUACAGCUUAUACUCAUAUUUUCAUCUAAACAUAAUUUUUCUAGUUCCAGCUUAUACUCACAUUUUCAUCCAAAUAAAAAAAUACCCUUAUUACUACAAAAAUUCAUACUUAUAUCGAUCUCCAGUAUAACUAGUUAUUGCUUAUAUUCGAACCAAACGAAACCUAAUUAAUGUAUUACUUGCAAGUAGUUUAU